GUAAGUACCCCUGGUAGUCCAACAGCUGUUGAACGAUGUCGACUUGGAGGUUGUUCACCUGAGGGAGUGGCUUCCCGGAGCUAACGCGUUAAGUCGACCGCCUGGGGAGUACGGCCGCAAGGUUAAAACUGCAAAGAAAUGACGGGGGCCCGCACAAGCGGUGGAGCACUGUGGUUAAUUCGAGCAACGCGAAGAACCUUACCUACUCUUGACAUCCACGGGAACUUAGCAGAGAUGCCUUGUGCCUUCGGGAACCGUGAGACAGGUGCUGCAUGGCGUCGUCAGCUCGUGUUGUGAAAUGUUGGGUUAAGUCCCGCAACGAGCGCAACCCUUAUCCUUUGUUGC
rnacentral:rRNA from 1 species